rnacentral:rRNA from 1 species
UGCCUUACACAUGCAAGUCGAACGGCAGCGCGGGAGCAAUCCUGGUGGCGAGUGGCGAACGGGUGAGUAAUAUAUCGGAACGUGCCCAGUCGUGGGGGAUAACGUAGCGAAAGCUACGCUAAUACCGCAUACGAUCUUUGGAUGAAAGCGGGGGAUCGCAAGACCUCGCGCGAUUGGAGCGGCCGAUAUCAGAUUAGGUUGUUGGUGGGGUAAAAGCCCACCAAGCCGACGAUCUGUAGCUGGUCUGAGAGGACGACCAGCCACACUGGGACUGAGACACGGCCCAGACUCCUACGGGAGGCAGCAGUGGGGAAUUUUGGACAAUGGGCGCAAGCCUGAUCCAGCAAUGCCGCGUGCAGGUAUGAAGGCCUUCGGGUUGUAAACUGCUUUUGUACGGAGCGAAACAGCCCCUUCUAAUACAGGGGGUGAAUGACGGUACCGUAAGAAUAAGCACCGGCUAACUACGUGCCAGCAGCCGCGGUAAUACGUAGGGUGCAAGCGUUAAUCGGAAUUACUGGGCGUAAAGCGUGCGCAGGCGGUCUUGUUAAGACAGAUGUGAAAUCCCCGGGCUUAACCUGGGACCUGCAUUGUGACUGCAAGGCUGGAGUACGGCAGAGGGGGAUGGAAAUUCCGCGUGUAGCAGUGAAAUGCGUAGAU